AGCUAAUGAAACCCUGUCGGACAAAGGGCGGUGUUGAGGCUGAAGCUGAUUUGCAUAAACCCCAAUAUAACAGCGUGGCCUCAAGGCGAUAGUCGUCAGUCUUCCGUGGAGAGAGUUACCGGCUUUUUUUUUCCAAAAAGGGAAUAUUGCCGUUUGGUCGCCAGCCCUCCGAGAUGGCAGACGAGGAACCCAAGCACACAAUCGGUAGCGAUCUGCAACAGGAGAUCACUGGCUUCAACAAGGAGAAACUCCAACAAAUUAAGACGGAGGAAAAGCUGAAUUUGCCUGAUGCAGCCACAAUCGAAGCAGAAAAGAAAGCAGCGAAAGAAGCGUCAGGACAAUGAGACGGCUUUCUAAUUCGUGCUGUACAUUCCACAAGCAUUGCCUUCUAGCUAUAUAUCUUUGUAAAAGGAAAAAAAAACCCCUUUUGGAUGCGGUGUGAUGGGAUUAAGUGAAAUGGCUGACUCUUUCCCCUUCCCACUUCCCCUUUCAUUGUUUCUUCCCCGCCCUCAUUUUGUUUCUUCCUGGCCUUGUUUUUUUUAAAAAAAAAACACGAAUUGGAACUACUGACCAUCUGACUUGGCUUGUCUUCUGAUGGCACUAAAGAGCUUGCAUGUCAAGAGGAGCCUGGAAAACGACUGCAGGAAUCUUAACCAAAUGUCUGUGAAUGGAGCAAAGCUGCCAAGGGCCUGUGUUCUGUUAAAUCGAAUGUAGAGUGCCAUUUUUGUUAGGUUCCUUGGGUUGCAGAGUAACUGUUUUUGAUAUGCAAAUAAACAUUCAAAAUUGAA